rnacentral:lncRNA from 1 species
CACGCAAAAAUAAAGUUUCCCUCCCUGCUCUCUCUCUCUAUCACCCAGUCUACUCAUCCAUCUUCAAGCUUUCAUCCCUUCCCUGCUCUUCUAUCACCCUCUCAGUUCCACCUCCAACUGGCUCACUCUUUUUCUUCUUCUCCAGUCUCUUCCUCUCCUCUUUCCUCAUCUUUUCUCUCUUCUUCUCCUCCUUUUCUUGAAUCUUUCUCUCCAUCUCCAGGAACUCAGCUUGAGCUUUCUCUCUCUUUUUCAGCUCAUCAGAACACUUCUUCUCUUUCUUAAUCCUGUCUUUCAUCAUGUCAUUAUGUAUCUUCAUCAGCCCCUCUAACCUCUUUUUCUCUGCCUUGUCCUCCUCUUUUCUUUCCUUCUCUCUCUUUUUCUGUUCUAACUUCUCCCUCUUUUUCUCAGCCUUCAUGACUUUCUUCUGCUCUUUCUCUCUCUCUUUCAUCUCUUUCUUCUCCCUCUUUUUUUGCUCCUCCUCCUUGUUUUUCAUCUCCUUUCUCUCUUUCUCGUCAUCUUUCAACUUCUUAUUCAGUUUCUUACUUUCCCCUUUUCUAUCCAUCUUCAAAAAUGGGAUUUUCUGCAUGUGGUUCCUGACCAGAAAGCCCACUCUUCCCAGGAUGGUCUCUGCUCUCUCUGAUGAAACCAUCCCAUUGGAGCUCUUGGAAUGGGCACAGUCCGCAUCACACUUCAACCCCUCCCUCGGUCUCACCUCCUCCUGGACGCUCCUCUCUUCACUCUCAAUGUCAAUGCCUAUCCAAUAAUCCUGACAGGAAGACAUUGAUUCUAGAUGUAAUAUUGUUCCAAUGUGGCACAUUCAAUACACAUUUGAGUGAUCAACAUACAAUGAUGGCCUCAUGGGGCACACAAUUUGGAGGACAGUAAUUAAGGUCAUUUGUUUUUUUUGUAUCCCCAUUAUAUUUUACAAAACCCAUAAAUGUUAACCCUAGUGAGGGGUGAUGUUUCAUACUAUGAGCAAAGAGCAGCAAGUUUGGGUCAAUUCCAGUCUAUUCAAGAAGAACUCUAAAAUUCCAAUUCUCUUCAAUGCUUUGAAUUGAAAUGGAACUGACCCCCAACCCUGUAAAGUAGUAGUGUAAAAUAGGACACCUACCUUUGUCUCUUCCAGGGUCCAGGUCCUGGGUUCAUCAUUGUGGGUUGACAGAGUUAAGUUAGCAUCUGGGUCCAGCUGGUGAGCGUGAGGGCAGAGAUACACCUCCUUAGUAGUGCCCCUCCCUUUCUGAUUUGGAUCAUUGUGGUCUUUGUCAUGGAUGCAUGCCAGGCUUGGAUGAAGUGCUAGGACAGGGUUUUUAUCACCUAUCAGUUCCUCUCUCUUGACAGUGGAUGAAACUGCACUUUCCUCUGUGUCAACUAAGCGCUCUGUGUUGUCCUCAACUGUCUCCCAUAGCUGUUUGUGGUCAAUGCUGUGGGUACAGGGCAGCCUUAGAGGCAGUGCUGCGGGUGCAGGAGGACUUUUACCAGCCAAAAACUCCUCUUGGAGGACAGUGGACACGGAAGCGGCUGCUUCACUGGCAACUGGACACUUGCUGGUGCCCUCUACUGCCUCCUCUGGCAGUUUGUAGUCAUUGUCAAAGACAAGUGGCAGACUUGAAGGCAGCACUGAG